UUUGCUUUUAAUUUGAAUUUUCUUGAACUUUAACAAUGGUAUGAUAAAAUUCAGGCCAAGAGAAGCAAAGACAGCAAAGACUGACAUAAAAAAGAAACAACAAAAACAACUCUUGUUAAUGAUGUAGAAUUAAUCUGAAUUCUCCAAAAACCUGCCUCUUUUGGAGAUAGUGGUCUUGCAUUCCCUGAUGCUGAGAGACUGAGUCUAUAUAUUGAAGACUUCAUUUCACCAGCAGGUGCAAAUGUUCUACAUUUCAAAGCCAUCUGUGUUUUUUAAGUGAUUGAGGCCAAGAGUAAUCCAUAUUUAGUUGUUUUGACCAUUUAAACUAAGGUUUAUGUUAUUCUUUGACUUUAUCAAUGUACUAAUGUACAUAUUUUAUAUGCUGUACCAUGUAUAUCUGUGAAUAAAAAAAAAUACAUGUCACUGUCGUUCAAUUGUUUUUCUUUCAUUACUGCCCCCACCCAAAGGAAAUUUUUAGAUUUUUUUGAUUACUAUCACUGCUAGGUGACUUUUUAGGAUUUGGUUUUAUUAAAUACUAACACAUUUCAUUAAAUUUUAGUACCACAGAGAUGCUGUAUAUCUAUUUAUGUACUGUGGUCAUUUUGGAACAACAAAUUAUUAUCUAUCAUUUUUCCACUCCCCCAAAAGAAUCAAUGUUUACCCCCUUGUGGAUAAAUUAGAGGUUAAAAUAUCAU
rnacentral:lncRNA from 1 species